rnacentral:rRNA from 1 species
UACAGAGGUCCCGAGCGUUGUUCGGAUUCAUUGGGCGUAAAGGGUGCGUAGGCGGCUUUCUAAGUCUGAUGUGAAAUCCUGGGGCUCAACCCUGGAACUGCAUUGGAUACUGGGAGGCUAGAGUACUGGAGAGGAAACUGGAAUUUACGGUGUAGCAGUGAAAUGCGUAGAGAUCGUAAGGAAGACCAGUGGCGAAGGCGAGUUUCUGGACAGUUACUGAC